GGAGGCGUGGCUGAGUGGUUUAAGGCACUGGUUUCGAAAACCAGCGUCGGAGAAAUCCGACCGUGAGUUCAAAUCCCACCGCCUCCGCCA
rnacentral:tRNA from 1 species